UCCGGCUUGACGCCGGCGGUCUCGCUAGAGUGCCCAACUUAAUGCUGGCAACUAACGACGAGGGUUGCGCUCGUUGCGGAACUUAAUCCAACACCUCACGGCACGAGCUGACGACAACCAUGCACCACCUGUCACCGGUGCCCGAAGGGGUCCCAUAUUUCUAUGGGCUUUCACCGGGAAGUCAAGUCUUGGUAAGGUUCUUCGCGUAGCAUCGAAUUAAACCACAUGCUCCACUGCUUGUGCGGGGCCCCGUCAAUUUCUUUGAGUUUCAACCUUGCGGCCGUACUCCCCAGGCGGAACACUUAAUGCGUUAGCGGCGGCGCCGAAGGGGUCGAAGCCUCCGACACCUAGUGUUCAUCGUUUAGGGCCAGGACUA
rnacentral:misc_RNA from 1 species